rnacentral:rRNA from 1 species
UACGGAGGGUGCAAACGUUGCUCGGAAUCAUUGGGCGUAAAGCGCACGUAGGUGGCCUGUUAAGUCGGGUGUGAAAUCCCUGGGCUCAACCCAGGAAGUGCACUCGAAACUGGCAGGCUUGAGUACUGAAGAGGGUCGCGGAAUUCCCGGUGUAGAGGUGAAAUUCGUAGAUAUUGGGAAGAACACCGGUGGCGAAGGCGGCGAGCUGGUCCAUUACUGACGCUGAGGCGCGACAGCGUGGGGAGCAAACAGG